CACCACCACGUCGCCCUCCGCCAGCAGCGCCGCUAUACGCGCCGCGUCGGCCGCCCGGUCCCGCGACAGCGCCACCGCGCGGACCGGCGACACCGCCGUCGACAGCCGGCUCACGCUGUAGGUCACGCACGCCACGGGCCGCCCCAGCGCCACCGACACGAUGAUGGGGUCCAGCGCCGUGCGGUGGUUGCACACCAGCAGCGACCCCGGCGCGCCCGGCGCCGGGGCCGGCGGCGGAGUCCCGCGCACGCGGAGCCGGAUCCCCGUCAGGCGGUACGUGUGGCGGACCAGGCGCGCCGGCAUGGCGAGGUUGAAGAGCACGCGGAACAGCGCCAGCAGGAAGCCGAGAGGGAGGUAGGCCAGCGCGAAGAGCGCGUGCGCCGGGUCCGGGCGCCGCACGAGGCGGCCGUCGUGGAAGACGGCGCGGGACAGCAGCGCGUCCGCGGCCGCUCGCGGCGCGCGCCGGUCCGGAGGCACCAUGUAAGCCUCCUUGCAGAUGGCCAUGAAGUCGUGGUCGCUCUCGCGGUCCCCGAGCCCGACGUCGGGCAGGUCGCCGGCGGCGAAGAGCCGGCGCACGACCUCGGCCUUCCUCUCCCCGACGAGCACGGCCUUGAUCCUGCCCGUGAACCAGGCGUCGCCGAGCGCGCGGCAGGUCUCGAGCUCGGUGGCGGCGAGCUCGGCGCCGAGGAACUCGCGGACGAAGUCGGCGACCAUGACGGCGGGGGACGCGGUGACGACGACCCUCCGCGCGGCGCCGCAGUCGCGGAACACGGCCCAGGUGUCGGCGCGCACGCCUGCGGCGUAGUGGCGCGGGAGGACGCCCCGGGCGACGGCCUCGACGUCGCGCACCCGGAGCCCCGCGAACGUGACGAACGCCAGCAGCGCGAUGGCCGCCGCCUCGGAGACCAGCGUGUAGAGCGCCAGCAGCAGCGGCGCGGCCAGGAGGAGCAGCAGCGCGCGCGCGCAGGAGCCGGCCUCCAGCGCCACCAGGAAGUAGUAGGGGAACGCCGACGACGACGCCAGCAGCGUGCCGUCCAGGUCCGCCGCGGCCGUGCGGCGGACCCGCGCCGAAGCGUCGUAGGACGACACCGGGGGGAACCUCGCGGCCAUGGCGACGGGGAACACGGUGGUACGGUGCCUGUCUGGGUGGACAAAAGCUUGGGACUUGGCAGGCGGCUUUAUGGUGUUGGUGGUCGCGGUGGCUGCGUUCGUUGAGCGGCCAACGCUGUGGUUGACGGAUGGUGGGAUUAUAUCUAGGACGCUGUGGUUGACGAAGGUCGUGGCGAUCGGAGUCGGAGCAGACUAGCAGAGAAGGGAGGGAUCCGAGCAGGCAAGGGGUGGAGUUGGGUGGGGUUCGGAUUCCGACUCGACGUCGCGCCCACCAUCAAAGGGGAACGUGAAAGAACCGACAGUGACAGACAGAUGGAUGGCGAGACGAAGAAGAAGAGGUAUAGAUGGCCAUUUGGCACUAACACGAUGGGCCGGCCCAGGCACGGCACGAAAAAGCACGGUCCAGGCACGACCCGGUCCGAUUAGUAUAGUGUCGUGCCUGGGCCACUAUCUCGACCCGUAGUGCUGGCACGG
rnacentral:misc_RNA from 1 species